GUAGCAAAAUAAUUUGUCUCUUAAUUGGAAACUGGUAUGAAUGGUUUAACAUAUGUUUAGGGUUUAUUUUAAGGUAUUUAAAUUUAUAGUUUACGUAAAAAUACGUAAGUAAAAUAAAGGGACGAUAAGACCCUAAAAGCUUUAUCAUUUAAGUAUUUUAGUUUUUGUCGUAAAUUUAAAAUUUUAAAAAUGUGUUAGCUGGGGUAGUGUUAUUUUAUUAACAGAUAAAUUUAAAAACUGUUAGGGGUUUAUGUUUCUUAUAAUUAAGAGAGGUUGUAUUAGUUACUUUAGGGAUAACAGCACUAUAAUAACAGUAAGAUCUUAUUUAUGUUUAGUGAUUGUGACCUCGAUGUUGAAUUAAUUCUCUGUGUAGGGCAAAGAUUACACGUGAAAGUUUGUUCAACUUUUGAAGUUUU
rnacentral:rRNA from 1 species